CAUUAUAUUUAUUUUUGCAUAUUUCAAAACCGGCAAUUAUAAACUAAUAAGUGUGGUCUCCACAAGUCUGGCUUAAUGUAAAUCGAAUGCCUUAUGUUUAAAGUCGCAGCUGAAAUUCACAUUUUGCAAACAUUUGGAAAACAAUAAAAAUGCUACUUUCUGCUCGAUUGAUCGGCUCGUUUGCAUCAUGCCUUUUACAGCUCCGCUAGGAACAUCAUCACGUGCGGGCCUUUUGCGAACGUAUCACUUUCACAAGCAGCUGCAAAUAUGUUUGACAAGGUCAACAGGUAUUGUUUACAGCGAAAGAUAAAGCCGGCGCCGCCACGUAUUAAGACGCAAGUGUAUCGACGUAGCCUGUUCAUGCAUUGAAGUGCACACUUCCAAAGUGUGCUCCAAAGCAAGAUCUUGUUUUUGAAGCUAUGCGACUCGUGCAACGACGGUCUGGAAAACGCGGCGUGCGGUACACAAAGUCACGUGAGCUCGCUCCACGCAGACACGCGCUCGUGCCACUGCUCCCGCGUUCUUCCACAGCUGGCUACGAUGACGAUCAUGCACCCCAAAAAAAAAAAGCAGCGGAAAAGAAGAGCAAGGAAGAAGAAGAUCGCGAGAUGCUGACUGCUGCGUGUUGUUGCUGAGGUUAGAAGCAGUAGGAUUUUUCCACAGUGCAUGCGCAAGUGCAACAGGCUUUUUACUCACACCACAACCAGUGCGGAUAGCAGCAAGUUUUACAUGCCAAAACCAUGGAUUAUGAGGCACAUGUUUAUUAAUGCAGGACUCCGGAUUAAUUUUGACCACCAAGGGUUCUUCAAUGUGCAUUUAAAUAUGGUAUGCAUUCUUUGGAUAUGUGUCAUAGGACAAAGUACUAUGGAAGUACCAGCUUAACAGACAUGGCCCCCAUGGCAGAACAAACUCCACCUCUUCAAAGUCAAAGUGUUCCAGUUCAUCCUUUUCCAGAACUGCCAUCUGGACAAUAAGUACAUGGCAUUAAGCCAACUUUAGCAAAAGAAAUGGUAUGCCCCAACCACAUGUUUCCAUAAACAUCACACACAUGCUGCAAGGCAACCGAGGCACAGGAAGGCCCACCGAGUUAUUUAUACACCGCACAGGAAUAACAAGCAAGCGUGCAACACUACAGUCGCCAAGCCACCGCAGCGGGUGCUCCUUGGGAGGAAUACCACACAUUUUCUAAAGUUUGCACCAAUUGUGCACUUUAUGUUGAAUAUCAUGCAGCUUAUUAGUUACUCUUUACCUCUAGGCACAGCACAAAGGCAGAAUUAAAUUUGUAAUAGUGAUAACUGAGAAACAAAACAAUGUUUUUGGAACACAGUGACUUAUUGACUGCACUGUAGCCGGUUUUACGUGCUUCAGAAACUUGUCAGAGCUUGUCUGAAGCAAAUAACUAUCUGACAUGGUGUCUCGUGCUGCCACAUCAGAACGGCACAGGUACCACCAUUUUAUUUCUUGCAUGAAUUUCUUUUUGCCGUUGCAUUGCCUCACCUUUGAUCACCUUUACAACUUCUUUGCAAACAGCUUUUAUUUUCCGUAAAACUUGACCCGGCAUUCCUAAAAUCGCAGAAUGAGCCAAAAUUCAUAAACUUUACAAAAAUUCGGAACUGCCAGGUAUACCACCAGCAGUGAC